rnacentral:lncRNA from 1 species
AUCAGCCCCAGCACCGCCAGCCCGACGCUCCUGGUCCACCUCGAGUCAGCUCCUGCUGCGGGGCAAGCCCACGGCCCGGGUAGGGGACACUUCCACAGUAUAGGGAAAAGACCCUUAAUCACAUUUGCAGAAGGCCAUAAUGAGAUUGUUUUCCAGUUAAUGUACAUUUUAUUUUAUUUAGCUAAUGUACAUUUUAAAUGGCUUUAUCAGGCAUAUUUUUCUUAGAAUAAGUUGCAUAUGGGUAAACAUAUGUAUUAGUGUGACAGAGCUCCUGAAGCCGUCACCACAGUAAAGGUGGUGAACACAGACAUCAGCCCCCAAAAUGUCCCUCAGUCCCCUUCUGUAACGCCUCCUCCCACAGCCACCGCUUCCUGUCAUUACGUUGGCAGUGUUAUGAAACAUAUGUAACUCGUAGUUGUCAGGAAUGUAUGUAAGUGAAAUCCUACAAUAUGGGCUCUCUUUAUUCUUUCCCUCACAUCAUUAUUUUGAGAUUCAUCCAUGAUGAUCGUAUCAAUAAUUUACUUACUUCUUUUCAUUGCUAGGUAAUAUUCUGUUAUAUGGACAUACCACAGUUUACCCAUCUUCCUGCUGAUGAGUAUUUAUAUCAUCUCCGGUUAUGAAUAAAGCUGCUCUGAGCAGUUGUGUGUAAGCCUUUGUGUGGACACAUUCUUUCACUUUUCCUGGAUACAUACCUGCGGUGGAGGGGCUGGGCCAUAUGAUUGCGGAGUCUCUGCCUGUGGCAAGAGCAGAGAGGACCGAUGCUCAGGACAACGAGAAGAUCCCCCAAAGUCAACAAUCUGGGCUUUGCUGUGGCCAUUCACCUGACUGCAGUCAUCUGACAGUCUGGCAAGGCCCGUGGAGGCCUUAUCUUGGAACUCCUGCAAAACCAUUUCCACAGCACUGUGUUGGUCAAUGUCAAUCUCAAGGUCAGCCCACAUCCAGGAGGGAGAGAAACAGACCCCACCUCUUGAUGGAAGAGGCUGCAAAAUCACAUGGUGAAGGGACACUUGUGGAGAUGGAAGGAAUUUGUGGCCGUUAACUAAUCGAUAGCUUAUUUUCAACUUUCACACUGAAAACAAUCUGUGAACAACCUCUAUCGGUAUGUCCAUGUCGGUAAGUAAAUUAUCCACUAUCACUUCUUCAUCCAGCGGUCA